GGGGCUGUAGCUCAGUAGUAGGGCACUUGCCUAGUAUGCGUGAAGCACUGGGUUCGAUCCUCAGCACCA
rnacentral:tRNA from 1 species